GUCUACAGCCAGGCCACCCAGAAUGCACCCGAUCUCAUCUCGGAGGUUAAGCAGGGUCGGGCCUGGUUAGUACUUGGAUGGGACACCACCUAGGAAGACCAGGUGCUGUAAGCG
rnacentral:rRNA from 1 species